GAUCAUGGCUCAGGAUGAACGCUAGCUACAGGCUUAACACAUGCAAGUCGAGGGGCAUCAGGAAGAAAGCUUGCUUUCUUUGCUGGCGACCGGCGCACGGGUGAGUAACACGUAUCCAACCUGCCCUUUACUCGGGGAUAGCCUUUCGAAAGAAAGUUAUAAUACCCGAUAGUAUAAUGAUUCCGCAUGGUUUCAUUAUUAAAGGAUUCCGGUAAAGGAUGGGGAUGCGUUCCAUUAGGUUGUUGGUGAGGUAACGG
rnacentral:rRNA from 1 species